rnacentral:rRNA from 1 species
UAUGUAGGCGGUUCUGUAAGUUUGGUGUGAAAUCUCCCGGCUCAACUGGGAGGGUGCGCCGAAAACUGCAGGGCUAGAGUGCGGGAGAGGAGAGCGGAAUUCCUGGUGUAGCGGUGAAAUGCGUAGAUAUCAGGAGGAACACCGGCGGUGUAGACGGCUCUCUGGACCGUGACUGACGCUGAGAUACGAAAGCGUGGGGAGCAAACAGGAUUAGAUACCCUGGUAGUCCACGCCCUAAACGAUGCACACUUGGUGUGGGCAGCUCAGUCUGUCCGUGCCGGAGCUAACGCGUUAAGUGUGCCGCCUGGGGAGUACGGUCGCAAGGCUGAA